rnacentral:rRNA from 1 species
UGGGGAAUUUUGCGCAAUGGGCGAAAGCCUGACGCAGCAACGCCGCGUGCGGGAUGAAGGCCUUCGGGUUGUAAACCGCUUUCAGCAGGGAUGAAACUGACAGUACCUGCAGAAGAAGCCCCGGCUAACUACGUGCCAGCAGCCGCGGUAAUACGUAGGGGGCGAGCGUUAUCCGGAUUCAUUGGGCGUAAAGAGCGCGUAGGCGGCUUGUUAAGCGAGAUGUGAAAACCGGGGGCUUAACCCGCGGCCUGCAUCUCGAACUGGCAGGCUUGAGUCUGGUAGAGGAGUGUGGAAUUCCCAGUGUAGCGGUGAAAUGCGCAGAUAUUGGGAGGAACACCAGUGGCGAAGGCGGCACUCUGGGCCACGACUGACGCUGAGGCGCGAAAGCUAGGGGAGCAAACAGG